rnacentral:tRNA from 1 species
UAAUUUUAAGUAAGUUUAUGACUAAUUUGCAAUUAGUUUUUAUGGGAUUCA